CAGUCGCGUUCUCUGGGAUUCAGCUUUGCUUCUGCUUGGUGCACUUCCUAGUCUACGGGCCAGCAUGGAUUUCGACCGAUGGAAAAAGGCUUGGGGAAUGUGGCACCUCCGGGUGUGUUAUAGCCCUUUGUCAGACACGUCGGUUGGGAUCGAGGACCCCAGUGCACGCUUCGGUUGUGCUUUGAUGCUGGCGUAAUGGCUUAAACGCCGUCUUGAAACACGGACCAAGGAGUCUAACAUAUGUGCGAGUGUUU
rnacentral:rRNA from 1 species